rnacentral:rRNA from 1 species
AUUGAACGCUGGCGGCAGGCCUAACACAUGCAAGUCGAGCGGAUGAAGGGAGCUUGCUCCUGGAUUCAGCGGCGGACGGGUGAGUAAUGCCUAGGAAUCUGCCGGCUAGGGGGGUAUAACGUCCGGAAACGGGCGCUAAUACCGCAGACGUCCUGCUGGAGCAAGUGGGGGAGCUUCGGAACUCACGCUAGCAUAUGAGCCUAGGUCGGAUUAGCUAGUUGGUGGGGUAAAGGCCUACCAAGCCGAGGAUCCGUAACUGGUCUGAGAGGAGGAUCAGUCACCCUGGAACUGGGACACGGUCCAGACUACUGCGGGAGGCAGCAGUGGGGAAUGUUGGACAAUGGGGGAAAGCAUGAUACAGCCAUGCCGCGCGUGUUAAGAAGGUCCUCGGAUUGUAAAGCCCUUUAAGUUGGGGGGAAGGGCAGUAAGUUGAGACCUUGCUGUUUUGACGUUACCAACAGAAUAAGCACCGGCUAACUUCGUG